rnacentral:rRNA from 1 species
UACAGAGGCCUCAAGCGUUGUUCGGAUUCAUUGGGCGUAAAGGGUGCGCAGGCGGUCGGGUAAGUCGGAUGUGAAAUCCUGGGGCUCAACCUCAGAACUGCAUUCGAUACUGCCUGGCUAGAGGAUUGGAGAGGAGAGUGGAAUUCACGGUGUAGCAGUGAAAUGCGUAGAGAUCGUGAGGAAGACCAACGGCGAAGGCAGCUCUCUGGACAAUUCCUGACGCUCAGGCACGAAGGCCAGGGGAGGCAAACGGG